rnacentral:tRNA from 1 species
GCUGUUGUAGCUCAGUGGUAGAGCACUUCCUUGGUAAGGAAGAGGUCAUGGGUUCAAAUCCCAUCAACAGCU